CAGCUCUAUGCUUAAUACACCUAAACGCUGAAGCUUUCUAGUCAUUGGUCAUUCUGCCUAAUAUGGGUAGAAAGAUUUGUAGCUUGGUCUUUGCCAUAUGACGUUUUAGUUGCCAAUGAGCCAUCCAGAAAGCUGUAACAGUAAAGCAUACUGAUUGGAAACCUAAAAUUUUAAAGCGUUAAUCCAAGCACCAUGGUCAGUUCAAUGCUAUGAAGU